CCCAGACUGAGCCCUGCCUAUUGCCAAGCCUCCUCUCUUAGACUCCCAGCCCUUCACUCUAUGCUGUCCUGCUCUUUGUUUCUGCAGUGCAGUUUAGGCUUCAGAUCCCACCCCCUCCAAGCGUGGAGAUCAUUUCCAGGCUAUGACAAUUCUGGAGCCAAAGAUUGCCUCCUAGAUCAGCCUGCUUCUGGGGGGCUUUGUUUCUUUGUCCUUCCAAGCCCGGUGCUCAGAGAGUCCCAUUCCGAGAUCAGACCAGGCACUGCUCAGGAAAGGUGAAAGAAACAAUUU
rnacentral:lncRNA from 1 species